rnacentral:rRNA from 1 species
GGAGUUGACGGGACCCGCACAAGCGGUGGAUGAUGUGGUUUAAUUCGAUGCAACGCGAAAACCUUACCCACCUUUGACAUGGCAGGAAUCCCGAAGAGAUUUGGGAGUGCUCGAAAGAGAACCUGCACACAGGUGCUGCAUGGCUGUCGUCAGCUCGUGUCGUGAGAUGUUGGGUUAAGUCCCGCAACGAGCGCAACCCUUGCCAUUAGUUGCUACGAAAGGGCACUCUAAUGGGACUGCCGGUGACAAACCGGAGGAAGGUGGGGAUGACGUCAAGUCCUCAUGGCCCUUAUAGGUGGGGCUACACACGUCAUACAAUGGCCGGUACAGAGGGUAGCCAACCCGCGAGGGGGAGCCAAUCCCACAAAGCCGGUCGUAGUCCGGAUCGCAGUCUGCAACUCGACUGCGUGAAGUCGGAAUCGCUAGUAAUCGCGGAUCAGCAUGUCGCGGUGAAUACGUUCCCGGGUCUU